AGGAAGAUACUUGAUAGAUAUUCAACUCUGCAGAAAAGAGGAAGCAGCGUGUUGAAGCACUAAGCUGGUUAUUUUGAGUUGUUGAACGGAAACGGGAUACAGCACAGAAAGGAUGCAGAUAGGAUGCAUUUUGUUGCGUAGCAACCUAGGGAAUAGAAGCUCCCGCAUGUAACUGGAGACCAUCUGCUUGUAGGAGAGGGAGAGAAAAAACACGUGUUUAAAAAGGAAAAGAAAAAAAAAGUGCAACACUGAAAAAGGAAGUUUAGUACCCUGAACGUGUCCUGGUCAAAUCAUCCUGGCUGACCUGGAUUUCUCAGAAGAGAAGAUCUGUUGAAAAAAAGCCUGAUUUAUUCAAAGCACGUGCCAUGAAGCUCUGCUGCUCAGCCUGAUCUUCCAGGCUAACACAGACAUCUGAACAA
rnacentral:lncRNA from 1 species